AGAGUUUGAUCCUGGCUCAGAACGAACGCUGGCGGCAUGCCUAACACAUGCAAGUCGAACGAAGCCUUCGGGCUUAGUGGCGCACGGGUGCGUAACACGUGGGAAUCUGCCCUUCGGUUCGGAAUAACAGUUAGAAAUGACUGCUAAUACCGGAUGAUGACGUAAGUCCAAAGAUUUAUCGCCGAAGGAUGAGCCCGCGUAGGAUUAGGUAGUUGGUGGGGUAAUGGCCCACCAAGCCGACGAUCCUUAGCUGGUCUGAGAGGAUGAUCAGCCACACUGGGACUGAGACACGGCCCAGACUCCUACGGGAGGCAGCAGUGGGGAAUAUUGGACAAUGGGCGAAAGCCUGAUCCAGCAAUGCCGCGUGAGUGAUGAAGGCCUUAGGGUUGUAAAGCUCUUUUACCAGGGAUGAUAAUGACAGUACCUGGAGAAUAAGCUCCGGCUAACUCCGUG
rnacentral:rRNA from 1 species